rnacentral:rRNA from 1 species
UACGUAGGGUGCGAGCGUUAAUCGGAAUUACUGGGCGUAAAGCGUGCGCAGGCGGUUUGCUAAGACCGAUGUGAAAUCCCCGGGCUUAACCUGGGAACUGCAUUGGUGACUGGCAGGCUAGAGUAUGGCAGAGGGGGGUAGAAUUCCACGUGUAGCAGUGAAAUGCGUAGAUAUCUGGAGGAAUACCGGUGGCGAAGGCGGCAUCCUGGACCAUUACUGACGCUGAAUCGCGAAAGCUAGGGGAGCAAACGGG